UAUAUAUUAAUGUUAAAAUGCAUAAAAAUUUUUGAAAUUUUAAGAAUUAGUGUAAUUCUAAUAUAUAUAU
rnacentral:tRNA from 1 species